GCCUAAACCCGACAGCAGCGAAAAUACUUUUUGUUGCAGCAACCCUGAAUCUGCUGUUAUACUGAGGUACGAAGCAUCUGUAACCUAUGAACAGAUGAUUCGUACCUCAGCAUAACAGUGGCACAAAAAGAUUGAAGUGAAUGGUGGGACUGCAA
rnacentral:sRNA from 1 species